CAAGUUCCUCACAAAUAGGUAAAAUCGAAUGAAAUGUUAAUUUACUUUAUGAAUUUUUUUACAAUUCGUCAGCUUAAAAAAGGCUAAAUUAAAUUUUAUUACUAUUUGGGAGCGCUUAUAACUUGACUUGAUUAGACCCAAAACUUAUUAAGUCAUUCAACGGCACGGGCGACCACCUCUUUCUCUUCUCUGCUCAAUUGUUUUUGAAACAAGACGACCCCGAUUACUCUUCGACAAGAAUUGUUCUUUCAGCGACUGAGAAGACACUUGUGACGAAUUAUGAAGACCGCUGUCCCUCUCCUGUCCUUUGCCGCUGUCGCUUGGUUCUUUCUGAAGGGAAAAGCCAUCUCUUGUUACCAAUGUGACAGAGUGACGUACAAUGAGUGCAGACAUGGACCUGUCAUCAACUGCUCCAGUAUAUAUUUUGACCCGGAGCGGAACACAUUCGGACGAAAUUUCGACUGUUGUUUUGUCACCAAACUGAGAGGGAUUAUAGGGAAAGUGAGCGUCAACUGUGACAUAAGCAGUCGACUGCCCACAGCUCGACACAGUUGUUCAAUGCCGAAUUGUUUUGUAGAAGCUUGCUUCCAAGACCUUUGUCUGCCAGGCACACCGUUGUCUGGUGAUGAUUGAUAAGAUAUUAACCUGGAAUAUUGUGAUUAGGGUGAUUGAUAGACAUCGAAUUUCUCCUUUCACUAUUAACGCAUGUCAAACAUAUUGUAGAAAUAAAAAGUAAAAAUGGGGAGGUAGCCAGAUGUAUCAUUGUAAUCGAUACGCUAUAAUAAAGGAUUGACAGUAUAGUGACAAGUUUUAAAAGAUUGUGAAGGUGAAUUAAUCAACAUGACACGAGCGUGGGACAGAGAAACAUUCUGAGUCCCCAACAAGAAUCGAACCCAUGACCUUCCGAACACCGGGCGGGUGCUCUAUCCACUGAGCUACGAGAACUCA